UACGAGGGGGGCAAAUGUUGUUCGGAAUCACUGGGCGUAAAGGGAGCGUAGGCGGGUUUCUAAGUCAGGUGUUUAAUCCCGGGGCCCAACCCCGGACAGGCACUUGAAACUGGGAAUCUUGAAUAGUGGAGAGGUCAGUGGAAUUGGGGGUGUAGCGGUGGAAUGCGUAGAGAUCCCCAAGAACACCAGUUGCGAAGGCGGCUGACUGGACACAUAUUGACGCUGAGGCUCG
rnacentral:rRNA from 1 species